AAUGAACGCUGGCGGCGUGCCUAACACAUGCAAGUCGGAUGUGCCGCAAGGUGCAUGGCAGACGGGUGAGUAACGCGUAGGGAAUCUACCUUUUUGUGGGGAAUAACGCUCCGAAAGGAGUGGUAAUACCGCAUGAGACCGUGAGCUGGGAUGUUCACGGUGAAACCUGGGGACCGCAAGGCCUGGGGCAAAAAGAGGAUCCUGCGUCUAAUUAGCUAGUUGGCGGGGUAAUGGCCCACCAAGGCGACGAGCAGUAGCCGGCCUGAGAGGGUGAUCGGCCACACUGGAACUGAGACACGGUCCAGACUCCUACGGGAGGCAGCAGUGGGGAAUUUUGCGCAAUGGACGAAAGUCUGACGCAGCAACGCCGCGUGGGUGAUGAAGGUCUUCGGACUGUAAAACCCUGUCGUCAGGGACGAAGGUGGCAGUGUUAAUAGCGCUGUUACUUGACGGUACCUGGAGAGGAAGCCCCGGCUAACUCUGUG
rnacentral:rRNA from 1 species